GCGCCCGUAGCUCAGCGGACAGAGCGGCUGCCUUCUAAGCAGCGGGUCGGAGGUUCGAAUCCUCCCGGGCGUGCCA
rnacentral:tRNA from 1 species